UACGGGGGGGGCAAGCGUUGUUCGGAAUUACUGGGCGUAAAGGGCCAGUAGGCGGCCAACUAAGUCCGACGUGAAAUCCCAAGGCUUAACCUUGGAACUGCGUCGGAUACUGGAUGGCUAGAGUUUGGGAGAGGGAUGCGGAAUUCCAGGUGUAGCGGUGAAAUGCGUAGAUAUCUGGAGGAACACCGGUGGCGAAGGCGGGUCUCUGGGCAACAACUGACGCUGAGGAGCGAAAGCGUGGGGAGCGAACAGG
rnacentral:rRNA from 1 species